rnacentral:rRNA from 1 species
CGACGGGCUCAUAUUGAACCUAGUGAUGUAUGAGUUAGUGGCGGACGGGUGAGUAACGCGUGGAGAACCUGCCGUAUACUGGGGGAUAACACUUAGAAAUAGGUGCUAAUACCGCAUAAGCGCACAGCUUCGCAUGAAGCAGUGUGAAAAACUCCGGUGGUAUACGAUGGAUCCGCGUCUGAUUAGCUGGUUGGCGGGGUAACAGCCCACCAAGGCGACGAUCAGUAGCCGGCCUGAGAGGGUGAACGGCCACAUUGGGACUGAGACACGGCCCAAACUCCUACGGGAGGCAGCAGUGGGGAAUAUUGCACAAUGGGGGAAACCCUGAUGCAGCGACGCCGCGUGAGUGAAGAAGUAUUUCGGUAUGUAAAGCUCUAUCAGCAGGGAAGAAAUACUGACCUUACGGUCAGCAGACGGUACCUGACUAAGAAGCCCCGGCUAACUACGUGCCAGCAGCCGCGGUAAUACGUAGGGGGCAAGCGUUAUCCGGAUUUACUGGGUGUAAAGGGAGCGUAGACGGCAGCGCAAGUCUGAAGUGAAAUCCCAUGGCUUAACCAUGGAACUGCUUUGGAAACUGUGCAGCUGGAGUGCAGGAGAGGUAAGCGGAAUUCCUAGUGUAGCGGUGAAAUGCGUAGAUAUUAGGAGGAACACCAGUGGCGAAGGCGGCUUACUGGACUGUAACUGACGUUGAGGCUCGAAAGCGUGGGGAGCAAACAGGAUUAGAUACCCUGGUAGUCCACGCCGUAAACGAUGAUUACUAGGUGUUGGGGGACCAAGGUCCUUCGGUGCCGGCGCAAACGCAUUAA